AUCCUUGGCACCUCCCACCACACGCUCCUGAUUGGGCGCGUGAGACAAGGCUGUGUCUGCGCGCGCUCUUACCAGUCCGGGGAAUUCCAUUUCCUCUACCAACCACCGGCAUAAGCAUUCAGGGGCGUUGCUUUCCUGGCAGUGGCCCGCCCCAGUUCGAGCCGGUGCCUUACUGCGUCUCGCGAGAACGUACGCAUUUUGGGGGCGGAACCCCGUCAGGAAAAGCGCACAAAACUGCUCUUAAGUCAUUGCAGAGCUACCGCUUCGGUUAGCCAGCCACGAAGUUCUCGCGAGAGUCGUCUCCUCGAUACCAAGUGAGGAAACUGGGGGACGCUGUGGGGAGGGGCGUGGGGCUGGAUCGCGCAGCGGCUGCUUCCUUUACCUUCCUCCCAUGGUCUCCUUCCGGUUCUCGAUGCUUCUCUGAGCCUAAGGGUUUCCGCCACUCGUUUACCCUCCCCCCAGCUCAUGAUCCUCCUCCCUCCCCCGCCCUCCUGGUCCAAUCUCCGAUCUGUUUAGUAAGAAGGUGCUGUUCCGAGAAGGAGAAGGAAAAGGGCUUGACACGUAUUCACUCGGCCCCGGACGUGGGAAGCAAGCCGUCUGGCUUCGGCCUCACAUCGGUCCUGUGCUCGGGACGGCGGCGUUGGCGGACUGAUCUGCGGCGGUGAAGAGGCAGGAGGAGGGGGAGGGGCGGAGCGUGGCAGCUGGCAGUAGUUCCGUCAGAGCGGACAUCUUGUGGCUGUGUCGUGCGCGUGAGCCCCGUAGGGCCGGGGAGGCACCAGCUGCCGCGCGGGGAGGAGGCCGAGGCCGCAGCUUGAGGGAGGCCCCGGCCCCUCUGCGCCUGUGUCUGGCAGAGCUGGUGUGAGACGAGACAAUCCUGCCCCGCCGCCGGGAUAAUCAAGAGUUUUGGCCGGACCUUUGAGCAUACACCGAGAGAGUGAGGAGCCAGACGACAAGCACACACUAUGGCGCUGAAACGGAUUAAUAAGGAACUUAGUGAUUUGGCCCGUGACCCUCCAGCACAAUGUUCUGCAGGUCCAGUUGGGGAUGAUAUGUUUCAUUGGCAAGCCACAAUUAUGGGACCUAUAAGCAACUAUAUGCUGGAUAAUUGAAUAUUCAGAAUUAUGGAUACCAUCUAAGAAUUUCAGAGAAUUAGAGCGCACUAAAACAUCCUGGGAAUGACAGCCCAUAUCAAGGCGGUGUAUUCUUUUUGACAAUUCAUUUUCCUACAGACUACCCCUUCAAACCACCUAAGGCAAG
rnacentral:lncRNA from 1 species